CCCGCGGAGCAGGGAGCCCAACGCGGGGCUCGAUCCCAGGACCCUGGGAUCAUGACCUGAGCCGAAGGCAGACGCUUAACGACUGAGCCACCCAGGCGCCCCGGAGUGUUGCAUAGUUUUUAGGAGGUUUGUGAUAACCUUGAUGGAAUGCCUAGAUCCCGUGGUCCUCUGUGACAGACGGGCAUGUCGCUGGUUGCUGUGGGGAUUCGAGGAAGCCUGAGUGAUACGCGGCACACCUGGCCAAAUGUCGCCAUAGCUUCUGCUGGACCCCCCCAAGCUGUAUAAGCUCCAGGCCCCACAUGACCAGGCCUGUGCCUGCUCAUAAGACACCCAGCAAGUCUUGUUGUGGAGAAGAGGCCAAAGACAGGAAUCCAGUGAGGUUGCUGGGCAGGUGGGGGCACAUCCUACGACGAUGCGACGUCGAGCAUCUCCUGUCCAGUGUUGUCUGCUAACAGGAGCCCCAGUAAGUCCUGGGGGCUGUGUGGUGAGUCUGAGACCCCGAGGGAGUAAGCGACUUGCCCAAGGCUCGGUGCCAACCUCCAACAAACCAGCCUCCCCACCUUCCCCCAAAGGGCACCUUCUCUGUUUCAGCCUCUGGAGUGGGCUUGCAGCAGAGCGGGGAGGCUUGAGGGGCCAUCUCGGAGAGGCAGGCCUGGAGAUGCCCUAUCCUGGCUCCCCGCC